GUCUUUUUCAUUUACAAAAUGUUCAUAUUGUUAAUUAUGUUCUCUGCAGUUUUGUAUACCUAUGUAUUAAUAAUAUAAAUUUCAUGUUGCUUACACAUGAUAAUGUUGUUAUUUAAAUGUGCUAUAGCAUAAUUGUGCUUAUUGCAAUAAACGUAUUUAUCUUAUAUUAUAACCGGUAAUUACGGUUGCUGUCUGUGCAGACGUUUCAAUUCAAUCAAGGAUUUUGGCGAGGGAUUUACCCAUUAUGAAAAUGUUUUAAAUCUAUAGGCAUUUUUACGGAAGCCGAUAAGGGCCAUUCAAAAAAAAAAUUUAUGUCGUAAUUACGACAUAGCAUGUCGUAAUUUCGACAUAACAUGUCGUUAUUACGACAUCGCUAUGUCGUAAUUUCGACAUAACAUGUCGUUAAAACGACAUCGCUAUGUCGUAAUUUC
rnacentral:lncRNA from 1 species